rnacentral:rRNA from 1 species
UACAUCGGAACAUGUCCUGUAGUGGGGGAUAGCCCGGCGAAAGCCGGAUUAAUACCGCAUACGAUCUGAGGAUGAAAGCGGGGGACCUUCGGGCCUCGCGCUAUAGGGUUGGCCGAUGGCUGAUUAGCUAGUUGGUGGGGUAAAGGCCUACCAAGGCGACGAUCAGUAGCUGGUCUGAGAGGACGACCAGCCACACUGGGACUGAGACACGGCCCAGACUCCUACGGGAGGCAGCAGUGGGGAAUUUUGGACAAUGGGCGAAAGCCUGAUCCAGCAAUGCCGCGUGUGUGAAGAAGGCCUUCGGGUUGUAAAGCACUUUUGUCCGGAAAGAAAUCCUUGGUUCUAAUAUAGCCGGGGGAUGACGGUACCGGAAGAAUAAGCACCGGCUAACUACGUGCCAGCAGCCGCGGUAAUACGUAGGGUGCAAGCGUUAAUCGGAAUUACUGGGCGUAAAGCGUGCGCANGCGGUUUGCUAAGACCGAUGUGAAAUCCCCGGGCUCAACCUGGGAACUGCAUUGGUGACUGNCANGCUAGAGUAUGGCAGANGGGGGGUAGAAUUCCACGUGUAGCAGUGAAAUGCGUAGAGAUGUGGA